CUUGAAACACGGACCAAGGAGUUUAUCGUGUACGCGAGUCAUUGGGUGAAUAAAACCCAAAGGCGAAAUGAAAGUAAAGAGUUGAGCAUAUUUGAUUAGAAUUUAUUCUUUUCUUAUUAUGUUCCUCUUGAGGGAAGAUAAAAAUUGCGUUAAUAUUUAAUUGUAUUAAUUUACAAUUGAUUUUAAUGUGAAUUUUUCGCACUCCCAGGGCGCUUGUUUAACGCUUGCGUGACAAUGCGCACCUAGAGCGUACACGCUGAUACCCGAAAGAUGGUGAACUAUGCCUGGCCAGGACGAAGCCAGGGGAAACCCUGGUGGAGGUCCGCAGCGAUUCUGACGUGCAAAUCGAUCGUCGGAGCUGGGUAUAGGGGCGAAAGACCAAUCGAACCAUCUAGUAGCUGGUUCCCUCUGAAGUUUCCCUCAGGAUA
rnacentral:rRNA from 1 species